UGGGGAAUAUUGCACAAUGGGCGCAAGCCUGAUGCAGCCAUGCCGCGUGUAUGAAGAAGGCCUUCGGGUUGUAAAGUACUUUCAGCGGGGAGGAAGGGAGUAAAGUUAAUACCUUUGCUCAUUGACGUUACCCGCAGAAGAAGCACCGGCUAACUCCGUGUCAGCAGCCGCGGUAAUACGGAGGGUGCAAGCGUUAAUCGGAAUUACUGGGCGUAAAGCGCACGCAGGCGGUUUGUUAAGUCAGAUGUGAAAUCCCCGGGCUCAACCUGGGAACUGCAUCUGAUACUGGCAAGCUUGAGUCUCGUAGAGGGGGGUAGAAUUCCAGGUGUAGCGGUGAAAUGCGUAGAGAUCUGGAGGAAUACCGGUGGCGAAGGCGGCCCCCUGGACGAAGACUGACGCUCAGGUGCGAAAGCGUGGGGAGCAAACAGG
rnacentral:rRNA from 1 species